UACGUAGGGGGCAAGCGUUGUCCGGAAUCAUUGGGCGUAAAGCGCGUGUAGGCGGCCCAGUAAGUCCGCUCUGAAAGCCCGGGGCUUAACCCCGGGAGGCGGGUGGAUACUGCUGGGCUCGAGUCCGGAAGAGGCGAGUGGAAUUCCCGGUGUAGCGGUGAAAUGCGCAGAUAUCGGGAGGAACACCAAUGGCGAAGGCAGCUCGCUGGGACGUGACUGACGCUGAGACGCGAAAGCGUGGGGAGCAACAGG
rnacentral:rRNA from 1 species